rnacentral:piRNA from 1 species
UGGAUUAAGAUGAAGAACUCUCAGCUGCUU